AGCCCUACGGGAGGCAGCAGUGAGGAAUAUUGGUCAAUGGCCGAAGCGCUGAACCAGCCAAGCCGCGUGAAGGAAUAAGGCCCUACGGGUCGUAACUUCUUUAGUCAGGGAACAAAGGGUGCCACGUGUGGCGCUGUGAGUGUACCUGAAGAAUAAGCAUCGGCUAACUCCGUGCCAGCAGCCGCGGUAAUACGGAGGAUGCGAGCGUUAUCCGGAUUUAUUGGGUUUAAAGGGUGCGUAGGCGGGUUGUCAGGUCAGCGGUAAAAAUUCCGGGCGCAACCCGGUCCCGCCGUUGAAACUGGAGG
rnacentral:rRNA from 1 species